CUCGUCCUCCCCCUACACUUCUCUCCUCCUGAAGCCCCAGCACAUGGUCGUCGGCGGCGUCGCCGCUCAUGUCGUUCUUCCCCCAGCGCAUCCCGCAGCCUCCUGCAGGACGAUGCCUCGCCAUCUUCCAUCAACCAGCGCUGUGGGCCGUGGUUCUGGACCGGUCACAGGUCGCUGCCAAGGAGCAGAGGAGGACCGUAGGGGGAGAAGGAGCAGAGGAGGACGGCACUAGGGGGGGGGGGGGAAGAAGCAGCGAGACCGGAGGCCCAGACGGCGCUCGUGUCAUGUGUCAGACACUGCUCGUCGGCCCUUGUCGUGGUCCUCAAUCUAGGUUGCCCAUCUCCAUCUCGCCAUCUUCUUCCUUCGAAUUUUACCUUAGUUUUUUUAUGAUCUAAUUUCAAUCGUUGGUUUACUGUUUCUCUAAGCAUGAUGUGUGAAGAUAUGAGACAGAAAAGAACAGGAAGAAUUUAGACGAAGAAUUGGGUCAUGGGGAACAAGAGUUUAUUUCCUCGGUUAGUUGCUGGGUCAUCUAUGUCGUUGACUAUCAAGGUUAUGUUACUUCCCACUCCCUUUUUUGGUUUCUUCCUGUUGGAAGUGAUGUAGCCUGAAUCUUUCUUUGUCACCCUUUGGAUAUGUGUUCUUAUGAAUGUUAGCGAUUGGAGUUUCUCUGUUAUGUUAGUACAUGUUGCUGCUUUCAGGUUGUUUAAUUAUUUUAUACGGAACACGUUGGCGUUAUAUGGAGAAGAGGCAUAUAUAUGAUUCUUUGCGUAUUUGCAGUGCCGUGACUGCAGAGAGGUAAAAGAUAAAUCCAGAGAAGAUAAAAAGGAAAGGACAGAGGAUGCCCAGGAAAAUGAUUCUUAGAUGUACAGUUGCAGGUUAGCUAUUGCGAAAAUUGAUUGUUCCUCUCCUAUUUAGUGAAAUAUGUAUGGGCUCAUUUAUGUACGGUGGUUAGGACCAGCAACUUGAUUAGUUGUAGUCUACUUUAACUGACACAUCUUUAAACUAAACCGAACAAAUCCAUUUUAGUUCUUCUAUUUCUGAACUUAUGUUUCUAUGGUUUCACGGGUUCGGUUUGUGUUGCACAUUUAUGUGUCAACGACGACUAUCAAACAAGAAAGCCCACGCCUGACCUCUGUCAUGGAAAAUCUUAGAGCAGAAAGUGAUAGGCUUAUUUUUUAGUUAGAAAGAUAUGUAUACUGUAGCAUCAUAUAUUCAGGUAAUCCCUUGUAUUUUUCUUGCCAGGUUCAUGUUUUAUACAUCUUGUAUACACCCACAUAAACUAAAGUUUGUAGUGUCAGCAGUAAACAGGGGCACAACUAAGUAAUAUGGGUAGAAAAGUAAGAGCUUAUGAAAAGAAUAGUAUCUCUAUUGCAGAUGUGUGAGAGCACCCCCAUUAUCAUGCAAAUAGUACCAGGUUCAGAGCCUUGAUUAUGGCGGCUAUAAACACAAAAUAAUCCAUCUAAUUGGAUUUAGUAUAAAAACCACAUUCCGGCGGAAAUUACUCCAAUUAGAAUUCUAGCUGCAACAUAUAUCUAAUUUGUCCCAGAUUGAAAAUCUCAAUUUUUAAUCUCUGAAAUACAGCACGCACUUGUCCGUGUUGUUGCUCUGUACAGGACUUGCUUGUAUGCAUUCCUAAAUAGUGUACAGGUUGGAGCUAAACUGAAGCUUGCUGGUUGUGACGUGUCAGCCAUAAACUUGUAUUAUGACCAUUGCUUAUCCGGCUCAAAAACAGAGGCUGUUCCGUCUUCUCCUAAUCCAGACAAGCUGGCCCCUCUUCAUUGGUGCCCGUAGCAAAUUCAAAUUUGGUAGUGACACUGCAUGCCUAAAACUCUCCUGUAGGUUGAUUAUAUUACUGGAUGCAUAUGCAUAAAUCAGAGGAUAAGCAGCGGAAGGACAAGUUGUAUUUUUCGAGAUGUUCUCUUCUUCUUUAUUUUACAUGUUAAAGCAUGGACCUUCUUGCUCAGGAAUGAUACAAUCAAUCCAACUGUUACCUUUGGGGUGCUUUUUGGAUGGACUAAUCUGAAGAUGUUGGCUAGCUUGCACUGCCAUCAUAUAAUCUAGAAGCAAGGGCAAGGAUUAUAGGGAAAAUAAAGGCAAUUCGCCAACCGGAGGAAAUGCCAACCAAUACAUUUUUGUACUUCCUCUGUUACAGAGUUCGUCCAGGCCUUAGGGACGCUUUCCAUCACUAUCCAUGAACAAGUUCAACUCCGACAACAGUUCACCAAUAAUGUCGGCCGGUGCACCACGUCAGCAACGUCGACGGCCUGACAGGCCAUUUUCCAACUGGGCCUAUUAAAAUGAAGAUGUACUUUGCCGUUCCACUAAUCUUGGCAAAAGAGCAGAUUAUGGUGCCCCUCGUGCUACAGUGGAAUUGAAUCACAAAAAAUUCUAUAGAUUCAUCAAACAAUGAAGGAGGUUAGUUUUUACAUGAGGGGCAACGGCGGCCACCGUGGUCUUGCUGGAGCCUCGCUUGCAGUCGAAAGUCAUCAGCUUCAGGGAGUGCCAGCACAGCCAAAAUAGACGCCACCUUCGACGGGGAGCAACAGCAGCAACUGCGAGGAUUUGGCUAGCCGAUACGAGCAACGGCGGCGACAUACCCGCUUCCGCAGCUCCGAGCUGCUGGUCCCCCGAGAUGCACAUGGAGCCGGCGAGCCGUUGCGCCUCCAAUCUGCCGGGCCACUGAGAUGCAGAUGUAGCCGCAGCGCCUCUGAGCUGCAGCGAGAGCCGCUCCGCCGUCAAGCUGCAGAGUGAGCUGCCGUGAAGAUGGAGCCGUGCUUUCUCUCCAUUACGAGUACAAUGGGGAGAGGGGAACGAAUCCAAUGAACUGGUUGAUGGAACCAAGACCAACAGUCAACCACGUGGUGAUUCUAUGCUAUAUGCGCCACGCGUGUGUAUAGGUGUCCAGAAUGUGUGGUUCAGUGUCACAAUUGUAAUUUUAUCUUGGUGCUAAUUUGUAGCACUUGUAUGAUCUGUACUGUUUUGUCUGACUUAUUCCAACUACUAUUCUUAGAA